AGGAUGAACGCUGGCGGUCUGCUUAACACAUGCAAGUCGAACGGAGUAGCAAUACUUAGUGGCGGACGGGUGAGUAACGCGUGAGAAUCUACCUUCAGGACGGAGACAACAGUUGGAAACGACUGCUAACCCCCGAUGUACCGCAAGGGCAAAUAUUUAUAGCCUGAAGAAGAGCUCGCGUCCGAUUAGCUAGUUGGAGAGGUAAAAGCUCACCAAGGCGACGAUCGGUAGCUGGUCUGAGAGGACGAUCAGCCACACUGGGAUUGAGAACGGCCCAGACUCCUACGGGGGGCAGCAGUGAGGAAUUUUCGUCAAUGGGGGCAACCCUGAACGAGCAACGCCGCGUGCAGGAAGAAGGUUUUCGGAUCGUAAACUGCUUUUCUCGGGGAAGAGAACGGACGGUACCCGAGGAAUCGAGCCCCGGCUAACUACGUGCCAGCAGCCGC
rnacentral:rRNA from 1 species